UGGGGAAUUUUGGACAAUGGGGGCAACCCUGAUCCAGCAAUGCCGCGUGUGUGAAGAAGGCCUUCGGGUUGUAAAGCACUUUUGUCCGGAAAGAAAACGCCGUGGUUAAUACCCGUGGCGGAUGACGGUACCGGAAGAAUAAGCACCGGCUAACUACGUGCCAGCAGCCGCGGUAAUACGUAGGGUGCAAGCGUUAAUCGGAAUUACUGGGCGUAAAGCGUGCGCAGGCGGUCCGCUAAGACAGAUGUGAAAUCCCCGGGCUUAACCUGGGAACUGCAUUUGUGACUGGCGGGCUGGAGUAUGGCAGAGGGGGGUAGAAUUCCACGUGUAGCAGUGAAAUGCGUAGAGAUGUGGAGGAAUACCGAUGGCGAAGGCAGCCCCCUGGGCCAAUACUGACGCUCAUGCACGAAAGCGUGGGGGAGCAAACAGGAUUAGAUACCCUGGUAGUCCACGCCCUAAACGAUGUCAACUAGUUGUCGGGUCUUCAUUGACUUGGUAACGUAGCUAACGCGUGAAGUUGACCGCCUGGGGAGUACGGUCGCAAGAUUAAAACU
rnacentral:rRNA from 1 species